UACAGGGGGGGCAAGCGUUGUUCGGAAUUACUGGGCGUAAAGGGCCAGUAGGCGGCCAACUAAGUCAGACGUGAAAUCCCUCGGCUUAACCGGGGAACUGCGUCUGAUACUGGAUGGCUUGAGGUUGGGAGAGGGAUGCGGAAUUCCAGGUGUAGCGGUGAAAUGCGUAGAUAUCUGGAGGAACACCGGUGGCGAAGGCGGCAUCCUGGACCAAUUCUGACGCUGAGGAGCGAAAGCCAGGGGAGCAAACGGG
rnacentral:rRNA from 1 species